rnacentral:piRNA from 1 species
UGGAAUUCUUCCAUAAAUUUGAGGAAUUA